AGGAUGAACGCUAGCGGCAGGCCUAAUACAUGCAAGUCGGACGGGAUUCGGGAGCUUGCUUCCGAUGAGAGUGGCGCACGGGUGCGUAACACGUAUGUAACCUACCUUUAUCAGGGGGAUAGCCUCUCGAAAGAGAGAUUAAGCCCGCAUAAUAUUAUGGCACAGCAUUGUGAGAUAAUCAAAUAUUUAUAGGAUAGAGAUGGGCAUGCGGAACAUUAGCUAGUUGGUAAGGUAAUGGCUUACCAAGGCUACGAUGUUUAGGGGAUCUGAGAGGAUGACCCCCCACACUGGUACUGAGACACGGACCAGACUCCUACGGGAGCAGCAGUAAGGAAUAUUGGUCAAUGGGCGCAAGCCUGAACCAGCCAUGCCGCGUGCAGGAAGACGGCCCUACGGGUUGUAAACUGCUUUUGUGCCAGAAUAAACCUCAGUAUGUAUACUGAGCUGAAUGUAUGGUAAGAAUAAGGAUCGGCUAACUCCGG
rnacentral:rRNA from 1 species